AGGAGAAGGGUUUUUGCUGGCUAACAGUUUUGAUGAUUUUUUUUCCUGUGGUUUGUUUGUUUUUUACCUCGCUGCUUUCACUUGGGGUAAACGAGUAGACAAGGGCAGGUGGUGGUUGGUAGAAAAGACACAUUCAUGUCAGAGCAAAAGCCCCAAAGACUAGAAUUCUACAUACCCUGUGCAUCAUGCCCUGUGCCCUCUACCCCAUGUCUUUUCUUGCCCCCUUUAGUAACAUGGCAUGGGGAUGAAGCCUUGUACUCUUGGGUUUGGGUGGGGUACUCUAUACCAAGUCCUAUCACAUUUCAAGAGUGGGUGAGGUCCUGAAUGAAGGCUGCACAUGGAGUCAAUGGAUGUGCCAGGCUCUAGAGGAUCUAGAGAUGAGAGUCAGAGUUAAUGGGCAAAGGCUAAAUUAGAACUUGACUGUUCUGUAGAUGAGAUGUGAGCUAAACAUGAUGUGAACAUACAGAAAUGAAAUAUAUUAUUUUACCUAUUGUCACUAGAAUACUGCUAUACUCUUGUAAUUGAUUUAGCCUCUAUUUUUAACUAUUUGUUUUAAAACAAGACCCUUACUCACUAUGAAUCCAUUAUAGAAAGUAUUAGCUCAGUGAUUAUUUUCCCUACUAUACAUUUUUUGUUCUGUGUAUAUGCAUACAUGUUCACAUUCAUGGAUACCUGAGGUUGAUAUCAGCUGCUUUUUUCAAUGACUCUCCACCUUAUUUUUGAGAUAGGGUCUUUCACAGAUCAGUUAUGUUACCUGGACAGUAAGUCCCUGGGUCCUCCUGUCCCUGCCUUCUCAGUGCUGGGAUUGCAGGCACAUACACAAUUCAUGGGAUCUGAGGAUCAAACUUGAAUCCUUGUGCUUGUGUGGACAUCAGUCAAUGACCAGGCCAUCUCCCUAGAUCUCUGCUGCAUUUAGUGGAACCUGUACCCCUUCCACUGUAUUUAUUUUUAUAUCCUAAACAUUAUUAUUGGCUCAUAAUAUAUGUUCAGUAAAGAUUUAUUGAGUGACUAUAUAAAAUGAACACCAUUAUCUAAGAGAACAGGACAUGGAAGCUACUUAACUGUUAAUACUUAGAAUACUGUAGGUGAAGCACAUAUAUAUGGCCGCAUGGUGACUAAGCACUGUGAUGCUUUCGUUCACUUUUUAGGUGACACGCGAGCUCUGAGAUUUGGCUUGUCUAAGCAUUGGAACCAGGGUUUUAAUUCUUAAUGUUCUAGAUGUCUUUGCAAGACAAGGCGUUGCUAGGUCAUGAUGGAAAGCAAUCAUACUCUGGAUGGGAGCUGGCUCAGUGGGAAAAGUUUUUGCUGCACAAGCAUGAGGACUCCGGCUCCAUCCAUAAGACUUGCACAACAGGAAGGUAUGGUGGCACAUGCUUAUCAUCCCAGCACCCAGAGACAGAGACAAGAAGAUCCCUGGAGCCCUCCGGUAUACUUCUAGACUCUGAGAAGUGGGGGAUGGAGAAGCACAGACUAUGAACUUGUUACUCAAAGGUAACAUAAUUUCUUUAUCUUAUCCUUAUGUCUGACACCACUGUCUACAUAAUCCAGAGAAGCAGAGCAGAAGUUAAGCCAGGUUUCCUCAGCCUAAAGCAGGAUGGAUUAGAGGCUGUAGCAAUAAAGUCAAAACACAAACAUGUUUUCACAUACGUGUUCAAUUACACUUAAGGCCCUGCUUAUUUCCCUUAGAACUUCUCAGUGUCUGUCCAAUAAGAAGGGGAGGUUGAUUUGGGAUAUGAAUUUUAUGAAUAUAUAACAAAGCUGACUGCUGGGAAGUACCAUUUUAAUAUAGAUAAUUUAUCUGUGAACCCAAUGUCGUUUUUAUUGAAGUCAUUUUUCUCCUUAUUGAGUUGAGGAUGAAUGUUCUCUACUGAAUUCUGUCAUCAUGGCCAGACCAAGUUCAUUAACAGGACGACACACCAUUAACCAACCACACAGAGUUGUGGGAGAUUGAUGCCACAGCCCUUCGGCCACCUGCUUCUCUGCCACCUGAAAGGAUGAGUUCUCAGAACUGCCACCCGGAAGGAGUGACUUUGGCAGGGACUAUGAGAGAAGAAAAUGAUGUUGUCUCUGGCUUUGGGACCUAACCAUUGCCCCAUAACUGCUGUUUUAUGUUCCUUAAAUUCAGAAAAGCAGGUGUCCUUCAGGCCUGGAGAGCCAGUCUACACUUUGCAAGUCUAGGCUAAAAUGAAGUUGUAAGUUAAAGCAAGCUAUACAAAGUGGAGGAAACAGAUUAACAUGUCUGAUUAUUCAUUACACCUUUGUGGAGCCCCUGCCAGACACUUGCUGUUUCCAGAGACUGAAUAGAGUUGGCUGUCUGGUGAAGGGGCUGUGUUGCCUCAGGCUCUGCCCUACAGCUGUUUGAUUUCCCUGUGAUUUUGAAACUAUCUCUCUAGAACUAUCAGGUAGGCAGGGACAUGGAUGCCCCAAGGACAUCAGUGUUCCGGGCUCACUUCUCUGCACACUGUCUCCUUUGUGAUCUGAAUUGGAUUGACUUGUGUUCAGAUCAUGUGUAUCUUUGGAAAGGGAGAACUUUUGAUGCAGGCUCCUGUGUACAGGUCACUAAAGAUAAAUGAGGACUUGUCUUAUUUCUAACUAGAAAAAUAUGUCUUCAUAUAUGCACCUAAAAGAACAUGUAAAACAAACCCCCCCCCACACACACACACAACACACAGGCAUGCACGCAUGCACCAAAGAGACAUGUUCUCCAUCCUCUCUUAACAAAUGGCAAAAUUCUAGUAGAUCUGGAGCUUUUUCUUACAUUAAAAUUUAAAUACAGACACUAAGAUGUUGAAUUGUUAUUUGAGACAGGGUUUCACUAUGUAGUUCUGACUGGUAUGGUACUUGAUAUAUUAGUCCAGGAUAGCCUUAAAUAGAGAUCUAUUUGACUCUGCCUCUUGAGUGUUGGGAUUAAGCGUGUAAGCUACAAUACUUGGAGGAUAUUGACUUUUUGAUACAGAUGUGUUUUUCUGGUUCUCUCACACAAUUCUUGCCCAUUCUUCCUUUCCACAUUACUCUGAGUGUGCCUUCUACCUGUCUGAAGCACAUAUCCACUGGCUUGGCCCGGUCUUUGCUUAGGUCCCUCAGGUCUAUUAUGCCACCUGCAGAUCUGGCAGAAAGCACCUUUAAUGCCUCACCAGGAGCACAGCUACUCAGUAGCUACAUAAAUAUCUCUAGUUCUGCUGUGUCAUUCUAUGAUGCCUUCCAGGGCGUCCUGGCUGGUUCUAUAUCGACCUUUUCUGGUGGCCCUUUCUUCUGGUCUUAAUCUGAUUCUUUCUUCUGACUCCUAUAAAAAGGACCUUCCACGGUCCCCCUUUUACAUAUCUCUGAAUCAAUCCUGAGAGGUAGGUGGGCAAGAUCUGGCAGUGGUGGUGAUAGGUUAUAGCUAUUGUCCUCCAGACUGAGGCCCCAGAGCUAAAGUACUCUUCAAUUUGUCCAAGAUUGAACAGCCAGGAAUGAACAUAACUGUAACUCUGGUCUUCGUUCUACACUCAACCUAGCAGAUUGUUGUCUUUCACAUGUAAGAAAGUUGUAAAGCUGUGGUUGUCUGAACAAUAUUGCUGAGAGUGACCCCUGAGGAUCCACCCCCUAAGGGACCACUGGUAAUGAAUGCACGUUGGGGCAUGAUGUGUCCUUUUCAUCAGUGGUGUAGCCAAUGAAGUGCUCUUGCUCCAGCAAAUGACCUUUCACUGAUCCCAUGCAAGAAACUUUAAAUAAACUCCAUGGGUCACACACCAAAAAGAAACUCCAGAAAACCAGAAACUCCAUGGGUUUCUGGCUCCUGUUGAGGGAGAAAGGAAAACGUGUCCCUUGUUUCCCUUUGUGUUGGUUUCUUAGUGGGUUUGCUUUAUAGGGUCUUAUUGGAUACACAUUAUGAAGAUAUAUUCUUCCUAGAUAAAGGCAAGAUAAAUCCCCAUUUAUCUCUAGCAACCAUGUGCAGGAGCCUGCAUCCAAAGAAACAUGUGAUCUGAACACAAGUCAAUCCAAUUCAGAUCACAAAGGAGACUGUGUGCAGAGAAGUGAGCCUGGAACACCGAUGUCCUCGAGGCAUCCACGUUCCUGCCUAGCUGAUAGUCAGAGUAGGAGAUGGAUUUAUUGAGAAGAAGAGUUUAGAGAGGGAUGGAAGCAGAUGAAAUAUGGAGAUGUGUGCCUGAGUGUGUGUGUGUGUGUGUGUGUGUGUGUGUGUGUGUAAAAUAACGUAAAUUUAUUAACUAGUUGUAUGAAACUGUCAAACAGCAAAAUGUUAGAAAUAAAUCUUUGUUGUUCCUCUUGCAGACCAUUUGCAUCAUUUGACCUUCACAAACUCAAUGUCAACCUGUCUCGGUGUGUAUAUCUAUGCCAUUCACCAGCUAAGACAGAUACUUGUAAACAGGCAGUCUUCUUUGAUUGUCCCAGCCCUCCCUGCAAAGUUUUCAAAGAUACAACAAACCGCUGUUCACUCUUACACAGGAUUGCUGUAAUUUAUUUUACCUGAGGGCAAAAUCUUAGCUAUUUAGGAAGUCUUAUAAAAAUCUCCAGAUGGCUUAAUUAUACUAUUUUAGGAACCAAGGACAUAAAAAUAAAAUGGAUAGAUAAGCACAACUCAGAAUCAUAGAGGAACAAAGAGCAAAAGUCAAAAAAAAUUAUCUGAGUCUUCAAAGAUGUGUGCUUCUGACUCAGGGUGAGACUCAAGCAACAGGAAGAACACGAAAUUCCUCCACCUGAUAAAGAACAGUUAACAUCAGAGCAUGGAGGAAAUCCCUCAGUCACCUUGAAUCCUGACUCUUCCACAAUCUAUAGACAAGUAACAGAAGACUGUUCUGCAAGCUGAGAAGUCACCCAGCAGUGAGGAGAGGCUUUAUUCUAAACGGACCUGGUGUUCUACAGAACCACAUGAGUCUAGGUAUGCAUGCUACACCAGGCUGCAUUUUAUUCUUUUAAAUAUUCUAAGGGCAGAAGCUAGUUUGAGGGUGAGAGGCCAGGGGCUGGGUUUUAUAAACCCAGCUUUAUUUAUUUUCAAUUAUGAACCCUUCCAGGUUGGAAAUAUCUCACAGAUGAUAAAGUGAGCAACAGAAAAUCACAGAAGUUUCUCAAAGUUACACAACUAACAGCAAUAAUCAGAGGAAGGACUGAACUUGUGUCUAAACUCACAACGUUUGUUAUCCUGAUUCUCUCAAGUCAAAUAAUGAGCAAGUGGUCAGGACUGAUGGCAAAGCUAUUUGGGGCUCUUCUUCUGGGGUCUUCGGUUAUUUUCUGUAUGAUCUCAUAUAAAUAUUUAAUAUAGCUGUGCCUGAAAGUCACAUAGAAAAAUCAGAUGUCCUCUUACAGUGAAAUGAACAUUAACAGGACAAUUAAUGACAAACCUCUGCUGUGUCCUAUGACAUAGGUACAAGAUGAGCAAAGGCCAGGUAGGAUUAUUUUAAUAUGACUUUCUUCAUAAAGAGCAAAUACUAUUUGAAAAUGGUUCUUGGAUUCUCAAAUACCACAGUACAUCUAAGCAGAACUUGAUUCUUUGAAGACACAGAAAGAAGUGUCUGAUCAAUGCUACUUUAAAAAGUUUGGAUGAAAAUGAUUCUAUAUUGGGGCAGCCCAUCUGACCCACUGGCCUCUGUCUGCUUUCUACCAGAAGAAAAAAUUUCAGGCUGAAUUGUAAGGUGGUUGCUUUUCUUACUGUCUUCUGAUUCAAGAACUUCAGAUGUAAAUUUUAGAUAUGUGUGUUUCAUUUGGAAUAUCCGUAGAGGUCAAAAAAUAAGGGUCCAAGGAGAAAGGGAGAUUGAAUGUGGUACUAUUAAGGGGUAUAAUGGGCAUCUCCAUAAAAUCUCUCUUUUCAGGGAUCAGGGAAGAAGAAGUGAAAGAAUGUAAGAUCCAGAGGUGAUGGAGGACUUUAUGGAAUCAAGGCCUUCUGGAUACAUAUAAAAACUCUGGACACAUAUAUAAACUCAGUAAGUCUGAGGCAGCAUGCAUAGGACCUGCAUGGGUCUGCAGAUUGGGUCCUAGAGUUGAAAGGAGACGUGGGCGCAUGCCCCUAUCCCUAACUCAGAAGCUAUCUCCAACUGAUAACCACUUGCAAAUGAAAAGCCAGUUUUCUCCAAGGGACUCUCACUAGGCAACAAAUCGCUUAUAAGGUUAGGGCCCAUGUCCAGCAGUCAAAGGUCAACACUAAAUGACCUAAAUAAAUGCUAUUGUAUUAUAUUAUUGUAUUGUAUUACUACUCUUUGAACUCCUGUUUGUUUUCUAAGGGAAGUCAGAAAGGGGUUAAUCUGGAUGGGAGGGGAUGUAGGGAGGAACUGGGGGAGGGGAAACUGUAAUCAGAACAUAUUGUAUGAAAAAGAAUCUAUUUUCAAUUUAAAAGUGGGGGCAGUAAUGGACCAAAAAUUAUAAAUGGGGUGGGAGGUGGGAAGAUAUGCAAAAAAACUAAAACUAAUGAAAACUAAUUAAUACUGCAUGUCUUUUGAGAAAGUAGAAAAUCUGCUACUGUAGACAUUUAUCAAAAUAUAUACAUACAGAUAUAUACAAAGAGUUUAAAUAGAGCUACUUUAUAAUGGGGUGAUAAUGUUCUGUUAGACACUUCAGGCUAACAAGUGAAAGGCCCAGGUUCAGAAAUGGGCUACUUCUUUAGAGCUAUGGCCAGUGAGGUUCCAUAGAUCCACAAAUAGUCUUUUGCCAGUGCUCUAGGUUGCCCUCCAGAACUUGAUAAGACCUUAUUGAUAAACACACCUCAUACCUGAGACAAAGAAUAUGGAGAAAUCAAGUUGGUUUCAUCCCUACUGGUUAGUUUCCUUGGUACUGCCAGGCAGAGAAAGGUUAUCAUCAAUAUUACUCAGUCAUGCAGCUUGUGAGUCAUAAUAAUGGCCCAUUUGCUAAGACAUGGCCACUGGUGCAUUAGUGGCACAAAAGUUAUGGGAGCAAACAAUCACUCUCUGAUUGAAUUUAAGGCCCAUUCCAUAAGUUAAAACUGAUACCUGGCAUUAUUAUCUGGGCCAAGAACUUGAUAAUGGAACUACUAGCAUUAUGGAUAUAAGUAUAACUUACUAAAUGACUUCUUUUUAUACCCAUAGAUUAGUACACCUCUCAAACUUCAACAGAGAAUCUUCUUUUUGCAGGAGAUAGCAACUAAUACAGGUACCUAUAAUUGGUCAAGGCACAGAGAAUGAGAAACGGUGGAUUGCUUAUUCCUAAAGGGGUCAUCAUACCAUAUCCCUCUUCCUAGGGCUCAGGGAUCAUUGUAAAAGAAGGGGCAGAAGAACUGUAAGAGCCAGAUUUGGUCGAUGACUCUUAGGAAAGCGUUUUGCAGACACAAGAGGGAGGUUGCAGAUGAGAACUUUCACCAGUUUUGACAACAUGCCCAAGUCCUACCCAAGCCAGACAAAAUCUCAGCAUGGAUGUAAGGGGUGGUCACAAAGCCCUACCCCUAGCUAAGCUCUAUGGGCAAUUGGCAGCUUCUGGAAGAGUCAGUUUUCUUUGAGGAUUGGCCCCUGAUAGUUUGGCAGGUUUCAGUGAAGGGCUCCAGACCUUUUGUGUUUGGGUAUCACAAAUUGGACUUGGUGGUUUUAAAAAUUAAGAAAAACAAGUACAAAGUUGGAUAAGUAGGGAGGAGGAUGAAUCUGGAAGGAGCUGAGGAAGUGAGGAAAAUGGUAUUCUCACAGAAUUAAUUUUUUUAAAGGGAAAGGAAAACUUUAUAUGAGUUGAGGUCAUCCUAUGUACAAGAUGCUGUUACUCAAGGGCUUUCAUUGCAUAUCCAGUGGGGCUUUUGUUUUUAACCCGGUCUUGCUAGUUCAUUUUGGUUGGUCUGAAAUUGCAUCAGACUUGGAGCAAUCCUCCUGCUUCUGCUUCUCUAGCUCGGGGGUUACAGGCCGGUGUCACCCAAGAGGAUUUUUGAAGUAAAUAUUUUGACACAACAUGUGAGAAGUGCCACAGUAAGGUGCAGAUUAAACACUGUGGGUGUACGGAGGCGGUGAAGAUUGUUUCAAGUAGGAAGACUUGGAAACAUUCAGGGGAAAGGUAGCAUUUGAUUGGUGCCUUAACACAAGAACAAAUUUAGACAUGUGGAGAUAACGAGAGAAGCAAUCUAGAAGGAAGCAAAACCAGGGAAAAUAUAAAAGAAAUUUAGUGGCGUUCAGUAAGCUAGAGGCUCUUGUGAAAGACAUUCAAAUGAACACAAAGGAAGAAGUUGGCUGGAAUCAGGGCCUGGGGAUCUCAAUAGCUGACUUGAAAGUGUGUGUGAGUUUUAUGCACAGAUUGAGAGGGACAACUGAAUAUGUUUAAGAAUGAUUGUAUCUGACCUGCCCUUUGACAAAUGACUCCAACCCUUUCCAAAAUGGCUGGGGUGGGGGGAUGCAGAGGGAACAUGAGGUGUUGGUUUAGGUAGGCACUGUGGAAUCCACAGCAGGUCUGAGCUAAGGUGCUGAAGGUGAAGAGGACAUGACAGUGGACAACUGGGGAAGAAUCAGCAGACUUCCAUCCCUGUUCAGACGUGUUUCCAGAAAUAAGGAGGUCCAUGGUUAGAAGGGAGCUGAGACCUUCAGAAGAAGCAGAAACAGAGGGUGUGGGGCUUCAGGAAUCACGGGAAAUAGUAAGUUUGAAGUUCAUUUUACACAGCCCCAAGCAGGUAUGUCCAGGAAGAGGGAAUGGUCCAGCAGAAGUGGGAAAGAAUCACCGUGCACAGUAUCUGAUGGAAGCCAUGAGCUUUUUUCUACAAUGAUUGGCUAGAGGGCCCCCAGCUUUACCCCGAGAAUUUAUUGGUGAGUUCUUCAUUCAUUCUUUCUUUGUAGACACUGCUUCAUUUGCAUUCAGUGACAUGCAUCUUUGUGUGGGGGACUCUGAGCUUUGUCUCCCUCUACAAGGUCACUGAUAGAUGCGGGAAACUAAAAUUUCUGUCACUCAAGUAGCUCUUCCUCAGGUAAAGAAGCAACCAGUGUUCAGAAGAGACCCCAUUCAGAGAGUGGGUGGUGUUCCUAGGAAGGGGUUGCUACUAGUAUUAUAUUUUAUAUAAAAUUUUAUAUUUUAUAUUUGCUCCACAGAGAUGAGGGAAAAAGUGAAAUUUUAAUAUAUUAAGAAUGUAUUGAGGGAAUAUAUUGAGGGAAUGUAAUUUUCUUUCUGAUUAUAUAGGUUUCUCUGUGUGUGUGUGUGUGUGUUUGUGUUUUAAUGUGUGUAUAUGUAUGUAUGAAAGCCAGAAGUCAGUCUUGGAUGUUGUUCACUUGGUUUAUUGAGAUGGGGUCUCUCACUAGAACCUGGACACAUCAAUUAGGCUAGGCUGACUAGCCAGCAAACCCAGGGUAUCUGCUUGUUUCCACCUCCCCAUCACUGGGAUUAUAAUCGCUUGCCAGCAGACCUGCCUCUUUAGAUGAGUGCUGAGGACUGAAGGAAGACCCUUGGAGUCUGCAUGACAAACACUUUAUUGAGCUCUCUCCCAGCUUCUUGAUUGCACAGCUUUUAAGUCUCCAAUACGCAGUAGCAUUGCAGGGCAAGGAAGUAGGACAUGCUUCCACUGCUUGACUUCAGCAAGACAUAAUUCAUCAAAAUGAAAGGGCUGUCUGCAUGAGAAGUAAUCCCUGACAGUUCCCUUCUUCGGAAAACUUGAAUGAAAUUAUCUCUGGCUCCAUCACUACUUCUGAGGCGCCAUAUCCAUGUCUACUUUACCAAGUCCGCAAACAAUUAGCUUUAUUUAUUGUCCCUAAUUUAAAGUACAAAAUGAGUCAUAUUAAAGUGAACAAACCACACGCAGUGAGAGCUGUGGAGGUGGAAUACUCCCCCACUUCCCUAAAAACUGUAAUGUCUACAGUUAUGAAACUAUAGCUUUUCAUUAACGAGUUGUGCUAUUACACAAUGGAUACACUGAUUAUCAUCCAUUAGUAGGUAACGAGCAACAACCGAAGCAUUGAAAAAUUGUAAUUAUGGUUAUUUAUCAUUGGCGAUAUAGUGAUAUUUAUGAUUCUAAUAAGUUAAAAGAUCAUUUUACACACAGAGGCAUAGAGACCCGUGAUGAAUGAUUGGGGCAUGUGAGUGGCUAUCUGACCACAGGAUUUUUUUAGUUCUCUGACUUGACUGUGAACCCGGAAGAGAGAAUGAAUAUGACUCAGUAAACAGGGCAAGAACCAGCUGCGUGUGAUGGGAUGCUGGUGUGGAGAGUUUCAGGCACCAUGCAUGCCUUAUAAUUUAUAGGAACCUGUGGUGUGGACUUUCUCAAGAGCAGCUGCAUGGAAAGCUGUCUCUUGUUUUCCCCUCUGCCUGGUGUGAACUUAGCAUGAGAAGACAUACAUAAGAUACACUGUGGUUGCUGCAAAGCCGCAAUCCCCAGGCUGUUGGCAUCUUGUGUGAGUAACUUUAUCAGCGGAGAAGGGCAAAGAACAAACGAGCAUUUUGUAUCAGAAUUGUGCUGGUGUUUUGCUCUCACGGGCAAGCAGACUGGUUAAGUUUCCUCCUCAGGCAAGGGUAUAUGUCCUGCUGUAUCCCAAACUGACAAAUCAUAUACCAAAAGAGAGAUUAAUUUUAUUUUUAAUCACAACAACCUAUGAGCUUCAGUACACGUUGGCUGGGGCAGAGAAAAAGAAAGCAUCAAUAUUUUCACUGUGCAGUCACUACUGCUAUACCCUCCAUGGUCUGUCUCCAUAUUUCCUAUUUAGCUCAGGCCCAAGAGACCAAGAUUUUUCCACUUUGAAGCCUUCAUCUUCAAAUACUUCAAGGCUCUGGAGCCUUAGAGGCACAGACACUGAUUCAUUACUCUUCUGCCUUACGCACUACCCUUCGCGAUUUCACAUCAGAAUGGCACCAGCUGUCAUAUUUUGAGGGAGGCUAGAGUUGGGAUUUACCAAGUCUAUCUUGGUUUAGCCUGGGUGUCUAAAGUUUGUGUUGUCUGUUUGUCCUAGCUAGAUACCCUCUGGGCCUCCAUUCCUGUGCUUGUUAAGGAGUCAAAGGCAGAAGGGCACACCCCACAGUCAGGCAGAGCCUUGUGUUUUGAACCUCUGCAUCGAGACAUGUACUUUUCCUGAAGCAGCAUACUCCCCCUGCUUAUUAAAAAGUCUAAACCACCACAACCAAGUCUCACCUUCUGAUGAUGCAGAAUAAGUCAUUGUCUCAAUUAAACUGCUUCCAGCACUGGUGAUAUGCUGUAGUGAAUGACAGUUAAAUAGUCUAUAUUUUCAUUUUACCUAAAAACAUCUUCUAGGGAGGCCGGAAGCUGUGCAUGCCAGGAACCUGGGAUAGACUUGCUUUUUAUUUCCAUAUCAGUUUCAUUAGGUUGAGUAUACUAGGAAGGCUUUAGCAUUAAGUCAUAACAGUUAAUUCUUAAUAAAACCCAAAUUAGUAAAGUCAAGGGGGAUGAAUUAUAUUUAAGUGGCUUUGACUUAAACUUUUAAUUUGACUUGCAGCAGCUGGAUUUCGAGUUUCUCUUUCAUAUUCUGUCUUCCCUGGUUUCAGUCACAUCUAUCCACAUAUUAUCAUCUGUUACCCAUAUAUCAUCUGCCAACCAUCCAUCCAUCAUCCAUCACCUAGUCAUCAAUGCAGCAUGCAAGCAAGUAUUCCACUAUCUAUCCAUCUAUCCAGCCAGCAUCUAUGCAUCCAACUAUUCAUCAUUUGUUAUCCAUCCAUCAUCUAUUCACCCAUCUGGCAUGUGUGCAUGUAUGCAUGCAUCCAUCCAGCACCCAUGCAUCUAUUAAUCAUCUGUUAUCUAUCCAUCACCUAUCUACUAUCCAUUCACCCAGAAUGCAUGCAUCCGCCCAUCCAUCCAGCACCCAUGCAUCUGUCUAACCAUCAUUUAUCCACUCACCAUUCAUCUACUGCCUAUCCAUCAUCAUCUAUUCAUCCACCUAGAAUGUAUGUAUCCAUCCAGCCGUCCAGCCAGCACCUAUGCAUUAUCUAUUAUCCAUCCACCAUGUCUAUCCACCCACCCAUCCUUUCAUUAUCCACCAUGAAGAUCUGUGUGGAUGAGAAGCUAUAGAGCUUUCUCUGCUUAUCUACUGUAAGGGUAAACUGCAUCUGUGCCCUUUUAGUUAUGAGACUGGGUCCUCUAUCUCUUGUUCUCCGUGUGGCUGUGACUGACAACACUAAUAAUCCAGCAGUCCCCCUUUGGCCUAUGUUCGGCAGGAAGUACCACUCUGAGUGACACCUGUCCAGAAAUCACUGUAGGUACUGAGAGGCCUAUUAGCCACAGAGAGGAAGGACUCUAACUGAGGAAGACAGUCGUUGGAGGCUGGGCUGAGAGUGAGAGGUAAUUUUCACCUCCAAGGAUCAUGUUUGGAAGAAUGAAAAGGGUCUCUGCCUUUCUUUACACUCUGUUGUUAAAAUCCUUUGAAAGUUUGGCUUCCAGCGGGUGUGUGUUUGGGAGAGGUCAGUUCUCUGCAUGAGGCAUGCUGCCUUACUGAGUUUGGGUUUCUUUGCUUGUAAAUAAUAUCUCACACAUGGAUCAUUAUGGGAAAAAAAGGGUAUUUUACAGAAAUCAUUCUUUCCACAUUACUUAAUUUGCUUCUUGUGGUGGUCUGAAUAUGCUUAGCCCAGGGAGUGUCACUACUAGGAGGUGUGGCCUUGUUGGAGGAAGUGUGUCACUCUUGGGAUAGGCCUUGAGACCCUUCUCCUUGCUGGCUGUGAGACAGUCUUCUCUUGUUUGUUUUUGGAACAAGAUGUAGAGCUCUCAGCUCCUCCAGUGUCAUUCCUGCCUGUACUCUGCCAUGCUUCCCACCAGGAUGACAAUGAACUGAACCCAAGAAUCUGUAAACCAGCCCCAAUCAAAUGUUGUCCUUUAUAAGAGUUGCUUUGGUCAAGGUGUCUCUUUCCACCUUGUCAUUUCUGAUCUUAGUAAAACUGUGACCAGGAUGGAAGUUCUAGAGGAUCCCUGUCAAGAUCUU
rnacentral:sRNA from 1 species